UCCUUCUAAUCCUCCUCCAUUCCCUUCCUGAGUCGAGGCUUCUGCUGAAGAGCCCUUACUGGAGAUCAGCAUCCUGUGAUCCUGAGCAUCCAUGAGACAUAUGCACCUCUAACCUCCCUUGGAAAGGGUUUACAUAGGAUUGAACGGAGGGAGAGUUACUAUUGUUUUUACUUCUUCUCUAAGCCAUGUUUUCUGUCGCACACACCAGAUUUCAGUGGCUUGCCUUCUGUGAAUAGAAAUUUGUCAGACACUUAUUUUGUUGAUUUAGUUCUGUUGGUAAACACUGGAGCACAGUCUCGUAGUCAUCUCUCGGAGUUAGAACUGUCAGCUACUAGGAGCUAAAAAAAAAGAGGGACUCCUAGGCAUACUGCCAUUCAACAGAAUCUCUUUCUUUAUUCUAAGAGUUCAAAAAAUAUGGUGCAGCCAGAUUUUUUCUUUUUCACAGAGUUAAGUAUAAUCCAGCUAAAAAUAGUGCCAUGUUUUAAUAUCUGUAACCUAGAAUUUUUAUCCACGCAAAAAUAUUUUCACUUAUAGCCGUUUGUGUAAACUUUGCUUAAGGAAAUUAAUUAAUAGAUAUAUGAGUACUUAAUUUUAAAUGUGAAUCUCCAUAAAUAAAAACAUAUUUUCAUUGGCUAAUAAAAUUCCCUCAUCCCCUCAAUUACUUUGCUCUCUCCAGUGUAAAUCCUUUUUAGGAAAAAUGGGAUGACAGCUGGCAUUAUUUGGUCUCCGUUAUGUGCAUGGCUGACUGAUAAGCAAUUUACACACAUUCUCCUCUUCAGGUCUUAUAAGAAACUUAUGUCUCUCUUAGAGAGACAUAUUAUCUCCAUUUUCCUAAGAAGAAUACAGAUUUGGGGGAUUAAGUAACAUUUCAAAGAUCACAUAGAAAAAUGUCAAUGCUGGAAUUUGAGCUAUGGUCGAUCUAAUUUUAAAAGUCUACUUCUAGAUUUGUAAAAUUUAAUCUAUCCUUGACACAUGCAUGGAACAGAAGACUCUUCCUCUAGCACUGGCAGAGGAAAGGAUUAGAAUAAUGAGAUAACUUUCUACAAUAUGUAAAACCAUGUACACCUAACAACACAUCAACAAUCAUACAAUUGAAAAUGUGGUUUAAUCGUAGCUGUAGAUAUGUUUUGUCAUAAGUGAGACCUACACUUCAAUAGCAACAAUAAAAAUGAAUUAAUAUUUAGAAUAUAAAUUCUGGCACAUACACCACAUCUUCUUUAAAAUUCAUUGAAUAUAUUGAAAUAAAACCAGUCAUGUAAAAUGACUUAAUGAUGAACUUAUGGAAUAUCCUAUAGUUCUCAGUGUAUGUUUAGAACUUUCUGGUGUUCCAAUCUUACCAUAGACCAGGGGCUUACAGCCUGUGCCUGGUCCCAUCAGGACCCAACAGGUGGAUGUUCGAUAUUAUCUUCUCUUUUAGGUCACUUGCCAAUCAGGAAGUUAAACAAUGACCUAUGUUCUUCAUAUAAGAAAGCAGAACAUUCCGGGCCUUUAAUGUUUCAAAAACUUCUCUGUAUUGGCCUAGAGGCUUCUCUUACUUGGACUUUUACAGUGGCUUGAGGUCAUAGUUUUGGGAUGCAAACACAUAACAUUCACUUCCAACUUCUGACUCCAUUUAUAUUUCUCAUCUAUUUAUUUCUGCCCUGGUUCUUGUCUGACAUCUUGAUUUUGGCACCAAAUUAGUUCUUCAUAAGAAUGAAUCUAAAAGUAGGCCCUGCUGUUUAUUCUAAGUUUUUCUUAAAUCCUCUGAUUUUCUUCCUAGGUAUGUCUCCAUAUAUUUAACUAUAAGCAGUCCUUUUUCAGCACAUUAUAUUGGUGCUUAUAAUAUGUUAUCAGAAGAAUAGUUUUUGCUGCAUGUCAUAAAAACCUGGAUUCCAACAGUCUUAAACUAUCCAUUAUUCCACAUAGCAGGAGAUCCAGAGAAAAUGCAGGCUUCAAGUUUGGUUGACCUGGUGAUGUCAUCAACGAUCCAGGAUCAUUUCAUCUCUUCUCAGCCAUUCUCAGUUUAGGCUCCAUUUUCAGGCUGGUGGAAAUAUAGCUGCAGCAGUUCAAGUUUUCUAAUUCUGACACAAUAUCUAGAAGGGAAGAGACCAUCCUUUUCUGGAGGUCUCUCUUUGAGCCAAGGAAAUGUUUCUUGAAGGUCCCUGCAGACUUCCUCACACAUCUCAUUGGUCAUAUGCCCAGGCUUGAAACCACUCACUGGCAAGAGGAAUGAAUCUGCAAUGAUUCAGCAUUGAUAGAUCAUUCACCUCCAUAUCACCUAAAAGAAGAAAGUUAAAGGCAGCAGUAUAUUUAUUUGUUGAGGGUUGUCACCGUGUUCCCUUUCCUUGCUGUGGGUGAGUGGAAGGAAGCUGCAAGAAGACCACUCACAGAGCUUGGCAUAUGCCCAUUAGUAUUCGGAGGAGGAAGCGACUGGUACCUGAUGCCUACCUGAAAAUGUCUAAUGGGAAAGAUCUGGCCAACCACUCUGAAGGCAGAGCAAGAGGAGUGUACUACAUUCAGAGGAAGCCACUCUUCUACCAAAAGCAAGGACAAGGCCCCUAGGCAGAAGGACUUCCCUUGUCUCAGAUGAAACUUUGGACUUGGACUUUUGGGUUAAUGCUGGAAUAAAUUAUGACUUUGGAGGACUGUUGGGAAGGCAUGAUUUGCUUCAAAAUGUGAAAGAUACAUGAGAUUUGACAGGGGCCAGGGCUGGAAUGACAUGGUUAGGGUUUGUGUUUCCACCUAAAUCUCAUCUUGAAUUAUAAUCCCCAUAAUCCCCAUAAUGCCCACAUGUCAAGGCAGAGACCAGGUGAAGAUAAUUGGAUGAUAGGGACAGUUUCCCUCAUGCUGUUCUCAUGAUAGUGAGUGAAUUCUCACAAGAUCUAAUGGUUUUAUAAGUGUUUGGUAGUUCCUCUUGCAUUCAUUCUCCUUCCUGCUGCCUGUGAGAAGGUGCCUUGCUUCCCCUUUGCCUUCCACCAUAAUCGUAAGUUUCCUGAGGUCUCCCAAGCCAUGUGCAACUGUGAGUCAAUUAAACCUCUUUCCUUUAUAAACUACUCAAUCUCAGGCAGUUCUUUAUAUCAGUGUGAAAAUGGAUUAAUACUGUGUGUGUGUGUGUAAAUGUGUGUUCUUUAUUGUAUAUUAUAAACACUUAGCUGUACAUACACACAUAUAUAUCUGCACACAAAUGUAAGUGACAUGUGACUAGGAAAAACAAAUGAAGUAUAUCUUUGCUGUAAUAAAAGAUACUGAAAGGGUAAGGUUGGUCCCCCACCCAUCUGCUCUCACAGGGACAGUGUGUAUUUAACACAGAUGCUAUGGAUGAGCCACCCAAAACAUGAGGGCAAAUUUCACCCUCUGUCACUUAGUCCUUUCACAUCUUGAGUUAAUCAUA
rnacentral:lncRNA from 1 species